rnacentral:rRNA from 1 species
GACGUAGGGCGCGAGCGUUGUCCGGAUUUAUUGGGCGUAAAGAGCUCGUAGGCGGCUUGUUGCGUCGGCUGUGAAAACCCAUGGCUCAACCGUGGGCUUGCAGCCGAUACGGGCAGGCUAGAGUUCGGUAGGGGAGACUGGAAUUCAUGGUGUAGCAGUGAAAUGCGUAGAGAUCAUGAGGAAGACCAGUGGCGAAGGCGGGUCUCUGGACAGUUCCUGACACUGAGACACGAAGGCCAGGGGAGCAAACGGG